UCCCUGAAGGAUUAGUGGUUAGGCUACAGCACUCUCACUUCUGUGGCCCGGGUUUGAUUCCCAGCCAGGGAA
rnacentral:tRNA from 1 species